rnacentral:rRNA from 1 species
CCUACGGGAGGCAGCAGUGGGGAAGAGUGGGCAAUGGGCGCAAGCCUGACCCAGCGACGCCGCGUGAGGGAAGACGGUCUUCGGAUUGUAAACCUCUUUCAGCAGGGAAGAAAAAAGGACGGUACCGGCAGAAGAAGCCACGGCUAACUACGGGCCAGCAGACGCGGUAAUACGUAGGUGGCAAGCGUUAUCCGGAAUUACUGGGUGUAAAGGGUGUGUAGGCGGGUUUGCAAGUCAGAUGUGACACUUAUGGGCUCAACCCAUAACCUUCGUCUGAAACUACAGAUCUUGAGAGUGGGAGAUGUAAACGGACUUCCCGGUGUAGCGGUGAAAUGCGUAGAUAUCGGGAGGAACACCAGUGGCGAAGGCGGUUUACUGGACCACACCUGCCGCUGCGCCAC